rnacentral:rRNA from 1 species
GAUGAACGCUAGCGGCAGGCUUAAUACAUGCAAGUCGAGGGACAGCACAGGUAGCAAUACUGGGUGGUAACCGGCAAACGGGUGCGGAACACGUACACAACCUUCCUUUAAGUGGGGGAUAGCCCAGAGAAAUUUGGAUUAAUACCCCGUAAUAUAGUUGAAUGGCAUCAUUUGAUUAUUAUAGCUACGGCGCUUAAUGAUGGGCGUGCGGCUGAUUAGAUAGUUGGCGGGGUAACGGCCCACCAAGUCUACGAUCAGUAGCCGAUGUGAGAGCAUGAUAAGCCACACGGGAACUGAGACACGGGCCCGACUCCUACGGGAGGAAGCAGUAAGGAAUAUUGGUCAAUGGACGGAAGUCUGAACCAGCCAUGCCGCGUGAAGGAUUAAGGUCCUCUGGAUUGUAAACUUCUUUUAUUUGGGACGAAAAAGGGCCUUUCUAGGUCGACUGACGGUACCAGAUGAAUAAGCACCGGCUAACUCCGUGCCAGCCGCCGCCGUAAUAC